rnacentral:rRNA from 1 species
CUCCAGACUCCUACGGGAGGCAGCAGUGGGGAAUAUUGCACAAUGGGGGGAACCCUGAUGCAGCGACGCCGCGUGAGUGAAGAAGUCAUUCGUGAUGUAAAGCUCUAUCAGCAGGGAAGAAAAUGACGGUACCUGACUAAGAAGCCCCGGCUAACUACGUGCCAGCAGCCGCGGUAAUACGUAGGGGGCAAGCGUUAUCCGGAUUUACUGGGUGUAAAGGGAGCGUAGACGGCAGCGCAAGUCCGAAGUGAAAGCCCGGGGCCCAACCCCGGGACUGCUUUGGAAACUGUGAAGCUGGAGUGCGGGAGGGGCAGGCGGAAUUCCUGGUGUAGCGGUGAAAUGCGUAGAUAUCAGGAGGAACACCGGCGGCGAAGGCGGCCUGCUGGACCGUAACUGACGUUGAGGCUCGAAAGCGUGGGGAGCAAACAGGAUUAGAUACCCUUGUA